GCCUCAGUGGCAUAGUGGUUACUGCACCGCCCAGGAAAGAUUGAGACGCGGGUUCGAAUCCCGCCUGGGAUG
rnacentral:tRNA from 1 species